rnacentral:lncRNA from 1 species
CUGGGGCUGGGGAGAAGGGAUUCCAACCCUACUGAUAAUUCGUUUGGAAACACCGGGCUGUGGAUUUCAGAAGUUCUUGGGCAGCCUGAUUACCACUGGCAGUGAGCCGGGGACGAAGCCGAAGCUAUGAGUGACAGACGGAAAGAACUGGGGGCUUUGGUGAACCAGAGAACACUUAGCUCCUCCAGCCCUGAAGCAGGCGUCACCGCAGGGCUUAUGGUCCUAAGAGCCACUUAGUUUCCUUAUUCAUUAAACUAGUUUAAUUUGGGUUUUCUGCAUCCUGGAGGACACCAAGUCGGUGUGCGGAGGGACCCUGUAGACACGUGUGCAAAGAAUAAGCCGACGAUCAUGGAAUUUCUGAUGACGCCACUGACACGUGGGAUGGAGGCCUCCUUCCCAGGGCACCCCUACACUCAUGACAAUGAAUCCUGGCUCUUAUUCACCCCUUUGGAUUUCACAAGCAAGUAGUUCUGCUCGGGAUGAGUCCCAG